UUUGUUCUAAUUUUGGUUUUUAUGAAGCUUCCAAUGGUCAUGUUUUUGGAGUUUGUGGUUUAUAAGGUUGGGUUUUGGUUCUAUUUGUAAGCAAGCUUGUAAUUUGUGUAUAUUUUGUGAAUAAUGGCAAAUGUAUGAAUGAAAAAGCAAUCCAAAGUUAGAAUAGGCAAGGACAUAAUAAAUACGAAGUUGUAAAAGUCGUCCAAAGUAGAAAAAAGGCAAGGACAAUUGUUUUGACUUUUUGCAAAAAAAAAAAAUUGAAAAUGAGAAAAUUCAAAAAUAUUUUUAUGUGAUUCUUUUCCCACUAGUAUAAAACCCGCAUAUUUUUGACGCUUUGGAUGUGGCGUCAACCACAAUUUUAUUUCCGCUUUUUCUCGACACUUUUAGGUGUCGAAGGUUUGUUUCGACACAUAAAAGCGUCGAGAAAAUCACGAGUCUAACACGUGACUCCCUCACAUCCUACCGCCCGCGAUUUUAAAAUUUUGUGAAAAAAAAGCGGGUUGUAUCACUCCCAAUUAUUUACUAAAAAAAAAGGAAAUACUCCCAAACCAAUUUAAACCACCCACUAUUGAAAUACGACUGAUAAAUUUGCUCGAACACUACUGCACUCUGCAUCUCUACUCAUAAUCAAAGCUACAACAUUCAUCGUUUUUUUUGUGUUAAAUUCUGGGUUUCUUGCUAAUUCUUCAACGAAUUUAGGGGAUUUUUCUUUUCACUUUCAGAAAUUUCAGAACAAGAAUCGAUCUUAUUGCAAGGGAUCUUUCAUUCAACAAACUAUCUGGCAGCUUGCCUCAGAGUUUUGAAUCUCUUUCAAGCCUUUCUACGCUGAAAGAAAUAGUUGCAUAUACCUUUGUGCCUGAUUUUCAUUGCAUCAAACAUCGAUAUAUUCAUAAUCCUGUCUGAUUUUGUUAUGAUUGAGUAACUGCCAAAUGUAUUAAGUAAUUUCAGAAUUGUUGCAUUUUGUCUUCCUAUGUGCUCUCACUCAUUCCCUUACACAAUACUCACGACCUGUAGCUGUAUUAGUGCCUUGCCCAAUACGUGAGGACCACAGGUGGCUGGUUCAUUAUAGAAUAUAUUGUUUGAACUAAAAUAAAUCAAUUGUGUAAUUGAAUAUCAUCAUAUAAACUUAAAAUCUAUGUAUAUUAAUGGUUUAAUGUUGUAUAUUCUAUUAAAGCUGGUGGUUAUGAAUAUAAUGGUGAUAAACAAGGGAGUUUCGUGUCAUAAAAGCUCAUAUUUUAGUGAAUUAGAGAACCUGAAAUUGAAAUCUUUAAUGUAUCACAAUCCUAAUGAAGGAAGUCAUGUGCCAGCAUGACCCAGCAAGAGACGGACAUGGAAAUAGGAUCAUUCUAGGAUAGAAACUCACUCUGGACUCUAUUUGUUUAACUUUUUAUUUGUUGUUGCAUGUUUCUUUCUAAUUUUCUUCUUUCACCCCUCAGCAAGUAUGUAGGCUUGAAUUACUUACAUUAUUUUUAAGUGGAUAAACUUCUUGAUAUUAUAAGUUUGAUGGAUGUCUAUUUACUUGAAAGUGAUGUCCCUAUUAUAUAUUGGUUUAAGGAUCCUUGUGACGGGAUUUUUUUUAAAUGUCAUUGUUUUUAAUUAGCAAUUAAUUAUAUACUUCUUUGUAGACAUGGAUACUAGUUGGAUUGAUUUUCCAAGAGGUGAUCCUGGUUAUUUUAAUGGUUGCAUUGAAACUUUCUAAAGAGACUCUUUUACCAAAUACAUGGGAAACUAAAUGCCCAUGUAAUAAGUGUAAGUUAAAUAAAACGAAUUCUGUAGAAAAAGUUGGAGGCCAUAUUUUAUUUUAUGGUUAUUAUAAAAACUAUAGAAAUUGGAUAUUUCAUUGUAAAGAUGAAGGGAGUAAGACCUAUGAUCUAAGUGAUGAUCAAGUAAAUUCAGUAAGUCGAGAUGAUAUGGACGGGUUACUAAGAGCAACUUAUAGAGUUAAUACACGACAAACCGACAAAACUCAAUAUCCAUCAUUUAAUGAACAAAGUAUUGAAGAUGACAAUUCAUAUGACAUGGAUGAGGGGUUUACCAUUUAUCGCGAGGUAGA